rnacentral:rRNA from 1 species
GAACGCGAAGAACCUUACCAAGGCUUGACAUAUACUGGACCGCAUCAGAGAUGGUGUUUCCCUUCGGGGCUGGUAUACAGGUGGUGCAUGGUUGUCGUCAGCUCGUGCCGUGAGAUGUUGGGUUAAGUCCCGCAACGAGCGCAACCCUCGUUCUAUGUUGCCAGCACGUUAUGGUGGGGACUCAUAGGAGACUGCCGGGGUCAACUCGGAGGAAGGUGGGGAUGACGUCAAAUCAUCAUGCCCCUUAUGUCUUGGGCUUCACGCAUGCUACAAUGGCCGGUACAGAGGGUUGCGAUACUGUGAGGUGGAGCUAAUCCCUAAAAGCCGGUCUCAGUUCGGAUUGGGGUCUGCAACUCGACCCCAUGAAGUCGGAGUCGCUAGUAAUCGCAGAUCAGCAACGCUGCGGUGAAUACGUUCCCGGGUCUUGUACACACC